rnacentral:tRNA from 2 species
GUGUACAUGGUGUAACAAACACAUUAGCUUUUCAUGCUAAAGUCAUAUUUUAUAUUGUACACA